rnacentral:rRNA from 1 species
UACGAAGGGGGCUAGCGUUGCUCGGAAUCACUGGGCGUAAAGGGUGCGUAGGCGGGUCUUUAAGUCAGGGGUGAAAUCCUGGAGCUCAACUCCAGAACUGCCUUUGAUACUGAAGAUCUUGAGUUCGGGAGAGGUGAGUGGAACUGCGAGUGUAGAGGUGAAAUUCGUAGAUAUUCGCAAGAACACCAGUGGCGAAGGCGGCUCACUGGCCCGGUACUGACGCUGAGGAGCGAAAGCGUGGGGGAGCGAACAGG